rnacentral:rRNA from 1 species
UACGUAGGAGGCAAGCGUUGUCCGGAGUUACUGGGCGUAAAGCGCACGCAGGCGGUCUUGUCAGUCUGUAGGGACAGGGCACAGCUCAACUGUGUCAGGCUUAUGGAAACUGCAAGACGUUGAGGGCUUCAGAGGGAUGGGGAAUUCCGGGUGGAGUGGUGAAAUGCGUAGAGAUCCGGAAGAACACCAAAGGCGAAGGCACCAUCCUGGGGAGUCACUGACGCUCGGGUGCGAAAGGCUAGGGAGCGAACGGG